rnacentral:rRNA from 1 species
UACAGAGGGGGCAAGCGUUGUUCGGAAUUACUGGGCGUAAAGGGCGCGUAGGCGGCCUGCUAAGUCGAACGUGAAAUCCCCGGGCUCAACCCGGGAACUGCGUCCGAUACUGGCAGGCUUGAAUCCGGGAGAGGGAUGCGGAAUUCCAGGUGUAGCGGUGAAAUGCGUAGAUAUCUGGAGGAACACCGGUGGCGAAGGCGGCAUCCUGGACCGACACUGACACUGAGGAGCGAAAGCUAGGGGAGCAAACGGG